CACCAAUGGAUCCCAGCUUACCAAAAUUCUUUUGUGAAUGUUCAUACCUCUCUCAUCUCCCAAUAUUUUCCUGUAUGUCCUCUCAUAUCCACAACUCUUAUCAUGUCCCUCCCAUUUCACUCAUUUUCAUUUUUAGCCCCUACUACCAAACCAAACUCACUAGAAUCAGCUCCCUAAUUGCUUUUCAUACCGUAUAUACUCGAGUAUAAGUCGAGUUUUUCUGCACAUUUUUUGUGCUGAAAACCCC